rnacentral:ncRNA from 1 species
GGAGUGGAGCCUGUGGCUUAAUUUGACUCAACACAGGAAACCUCACCCAGCCAGGACACGGACAGGAUCGAUAGCUCUCGAUUCUGAGUGGUGGAGCAUGGCCGUUCUUAGUUGGUAGAGUGAUUUGUUUUGUUAAUUCAAUAAUGAAGGGGACUCUGUCAUGCUAACUAGUUACUCAACCACUGAGCAGUCAACGUCCCCCAACUUCUUAGAGGGGCAAGCCAUCCAAGAUUGAGCAAUAACAGGUCUGUGCUGCCCUUAGAUGUCCAGGGCUGCACAUGCACUACACUGACUGGCUCAGCGUGUUCCUACCCUACAUUUUUUUUUUUUUUUUUGUUAGUGUCUCCCAGUAAACUUGUUUCAGUUAGACUAGCUAGGCAAUGAGGCCCCAGCACUGGGGUUACAGACUUACAACACUAUGCCCAGAUUUUAUGUGGAUUCC